rnacentral:tRNA from 1 species
GCGGUAGUAGUUUAGCCUGGUAGAAUGUUACCCUGCCACGGUAGCGACCCGGGUUCGAAUCCCGGCUGCCGCA